rnacentral:rRNA from 1 species
AUUGAACGCUGGCGGCAUGCUUUACACAUGCAAGUCGAACGGUAACAGGGAGCUUGCUCCGCUGACGAGUGGCGAACGGGUGAGUAAUGCGUCGGAACGUGCCGAGUAGUGGGGGAUAACGCAUCGAAAGGUGUGCUAAUACCGCAUACGUACUGAGGUAGAAAGUGGGGGACCUUCGGGCCUCACGCUAUUCGAGCGGCCGACGUCUGAUUAGCUAGUUGGUGAGGUAAAGGCUCACCAAGGCGACGAUCAGUAGCGGGUCUGAGAGGAUGCUCCGCCACACUGGGACUGAGACACGGCCCAGACUCCUACGGGAGGCAGCAGUGGGGAAUUUUGGACAAUGGGCGCAAGCCUGAUCCAGCCAUGCCGCGUGUCUGAAGAAGGCCUUCGGGUUGUAAAGGACUUUUGUCCGGGAGCAAAUGCCUGGUGUUAAUAGCACUGGGAGCUGAGAGUACCGGAAGAAUAAGCACCGGCUAACUAUGUGCCAGCCGCCGCUGUAACAC